rnacentral:rRNA from 1 species
UACGGAGGGAGCUAGCGUUGUUCGGAAUUACUGGGCGUAAAGCGCGCGUAGGCGGCUUUGUAAGUUAGAGGUGAAAGCCCGGGGCUCAACUCCGGAACUGCCUUUAAGACUGCAUCGCUUGAAUCCGGGAGAGGUGAGUGGAAUUCCGAGUGUAGAGGUGAAAUUCGUAGAUAUUCGGAAGAACACCAGUGGCGAAGGCGGGACUCUGGGCCGAUACUGACGCUGAGGAGCGAAAGCGUGGGGAGCGAACAGG